rnacentral:rRNA from 1 species
UACGAGGGGUGCAAGCGUUGCUCGGAAUUAUUGGGCGUAAAGGGCAAGUAGGUGGUCUUAUUUGUCUGAUGUGAAAGCCUUGGGCUUAACCCAAGAAGUGCGUCAGAAACGGUGAGACUAGAGUAUCGGAGAGGCGAGUGGAAUUCCCGGUGUAGCGGUGAAAUGCGUAGAGAUCGGGAGGAACACCAGAGGCGAAGGCGGCUCGCUGGACGAUGACUGACACUCAACUGCGAAAGCGUGGGGAGCGAACAGG